rfam:Rattus norvegicus chromosome 9, whole genome shotgun sequence.
GGGGAUUUAGCUCAAUGGUAGAGCGCUUGCCUAGGAAGCGCAAGGUCCUGGGUUCGGUCCCCAGCUCCG